CUUUAAAAAUCUGGAUCAAGCUGAAAAUUGAAACGACACACUGUGUCUGUUCUCCGUAAUAAGAACAGAUAAAUGGUGUGUUCGAGUCUCUCAAAUUUUUGCAAGUCGAUGAUGAAUCGAAAGAAACAUCUUCGG
rnacentral:sRNA from 1 species